rnacentral:lncRNA from 1 species
GUAAAUUGGAUGCAUCUUUAAACCUAAGAAUAUCUCUUAAAGUUUUAUCAAGAGCUUCAAAACAAUAUCUAUGCAUCAUGGGUGCCUCAUCCCAGAUAAUCAACUUUGCCUUAAUAAUUAAAUUUGCUAAAGGAGUACCUUGCUUUAUAUUACAUGUUAAAUCAUCAGUUACAUUUAGAGGAAUCACAAAUCUUGAAUGAGUUGUUCGACCACCUGGUAACAAAAAAGAUGCAAUCUCGCUAGAUGCAACAGUUAAGACAAUAUCUCCUCUAGAUCUUAUGGCAGAAGAUACAACAACAACAACAACAACUACCCAGUAUACUCCCACCAGGUGGGGUCUGGGGAGGGUAAUAUGUAGACAAGCCUUACCCCUACCCGAAAGGGC